UGGGGGGGUAUUUAUGAGGCUGGGGGGGUACUUAAGGGGCUGGGGGGGUACUUAUGGGGCUGGGGGGGAUCUGUGGGGCUGGGGGGGAUCUGUGGGGCUGGGGGGGGAUCUCUGGGGUUGGGGGGUACUUAUGGGGCUGGGGGGGAUCUGUGGGGCUGGGGGGAAUCUAUGGGGCUAGAAAGGAUUUAUGGAGCUGGAGAAGAUCAGUAGGAUUUUACGGGGUUCUUAUGGGGUUGGAAUGGAUCUAUGGGCUUGGGAGAGGAUCUAUGGGGCAGGGGGCGAUCUAUGGGGCUGGAGGAGACCUAUAGGGCACGGGGGGGGGGAUAUAUGGGGCACGGGAGGGAUCUACGGGGCUGGGAGGGGAUCUGUGGGGCCGGGGGGAACUGUGGGGCUGAGGGAGAUCUAUGGGGCUGAAGGAAAUCUGUGGGGCUGGGGGGGAUAUAUGGGGCUGGGAAGGGAUCUAUGGGGCUGGAAGGAUCAGCAGGGUUCUGUGGGGUACUUAUGGGGCUGGGGGGUACCUGUGGGGCCGGGGGGGGCCGUGGGGCCAGGCGGGGGCGCUCACACACAGCACACAGCACAGCGGGACCCACAUUGAGGUACGUGCAGGAGGCGCACGGCCAGACCCACAGCGACGGCGCCUCUGCGGGGCUGCCCCAUAGCGGCCGCUCAGCCACCCCACAGGGAACACAGGGACCCAUAGGGACACAUAGGGACCCCACAGGGACCACAGGGACCCACAGAGACCCAAAAAGACCCAUAGAGACCCCAUAGAGACCCCAUAGAGACCCAUAGAGACCCAUAGAGACCCAAAAAGACCCAUAGAGACCUCAUAGAGACCUCAUAGAGACCCACAGGAAUCCAUAAAGAUCUAUAGAGACCCACAGGAACCCAUAGAGACCCCACAGGGACCCAUAGGGACCCACAGGGACCCCAUAGGGACCCAUAGAGACCCAUAGGGACCCAUAGGGACCCCACAGGGACCCAUAGAGACCCAUAGCGACCCAUAGGGACCCAUAGGGACCCCACAGGGACCCAUAAAGAUCCCUAGAGACCCCAUAGAGACCCCACAGAGACCCAUAAGGACCCACAAAGACCCCUAAAAACCCCAUAGAGAACCAUACCAACCAAUAGGGACCCAUAGAGACCCAUAGAGACCCCAUAGAGACCCCAUAGAGGCCCAUAAGGACCCAUAGAAACCCAUAGCGACCCCAUAAAGACCACAGGGACCCACAGAGACCCAUACAGACCCCAUAGAGACCCAUAGAGACCCCGUAGAAGCGCAUAAGGACCCAUAAAAACCCAUAGCGACCCCAUAUGGACCACAGAAACCCAUAGAGACCCAUACAGACCCCAUAGAGACCCAUAGGGACCCACAGGGACACACGGAGACCCCAUGAAGACCCAUAGAGGCCCCAUAGAGACCCAUAAGGACUCAUAGAGACCCCAUAGAGACCCAUAGAGAUCCCAUCGGGACCCACAGUGCCCCACAGAGAUCCCACAGCGCCCCAUAGGGCCAUACCUUUCCCCCCCCGAGGUGGGGGUCGCUUGUGGGGCCGCUCCUGUGGGGACAUAUAGGGUCAGCCCGGCACCCC
ensembl:lncRNA